GUGUGGCGUGAGCUGCGGGUCUGCAGGGGCCGGGCAGGGUGAGAGGAACCAAGGAUGAGCACCCCCCCCCCCCUUUGCUUGUCACUGCCCAUAUCCAGGCCUGGGAAGGUCCUGCCAGCCAGCGACACCCACACAGAUUACAGACUCCCACACAGAUUACAGACUCCUGGCAUGGCCACAAGAGAGUUCCCCAGUCUCUGCUGGCCUUGGCCUCCCUGGGACACCCGGCAGGCUUCCGAAGAACAACACAAAUUUGUCACCGAGGGUGAUUGAGAAAACUAUCCCGAACUCCUCAAAGCCAGCUGGACCCGGAUUUGAGACGACCUGCCCAGUGCCCACAACACACAUGUUAAGUCUGAUGUGACACACAUGUGCCAGGCCUCAGCCCCUCCUUGCAAGGCACAUGCUGCCACACAGCCAGCCAGCCUCCCCCAGGAGCCUCUGAGUGACGGCAGCCACUUCUCUGAAGCUGUAGCUGAGGCUGAUAUCUGGCUGGGGGUGGGGGAGGAUGUCACAGGACAGCUUGAUGGCUCUCUCCGUGGGGGAGGGGGAGUCAGGAUGAUUUCAACCGUACUUUAAGAGCCUACUUUUGGCUGAAACCUGGGGAUGUCACUCAGGGCCACAGCCCCUGACAUUCUGCCUUAGUCCCUGGGCAAGAAAUCUGGUUGUUGUACAGAAGCUGGUACAAGGAGUGAGAUAAUGAAUCCGAUCUACAUCAUUCCAUGUUAUGUGCAUUAUAUACAUAUAUGUAUUACAUAUACAUAUACUGUCAAGAAAUAA